ACAUUUGUUUCCCUGGGCCAGUUAGCACCUUUGAGAGGUUCUCCUGUGGCCAUGCCCACCUGCCUGUCCUCUCAGGAGAAAGAGAGUGGCAGGGCAGGAGGAGGGUCCCCGCCUCCACAGGACAGCUGGCUUAGCUCUGCAGAGCCCCUGUGGCUGGGAGGGUGUUUGUUAGGGCCCCACGGGGUCCGCGUACAGGCAGGCUUUCCGGGCAGGUGGGCCUGCCUCAGUCCCAUCCGGCAUCCACUGUGGAGCAAUGUAACAGCAAGAGACCCACACAGGGUCUGGUUCUCCUUGGCAGGUACAAGAGAACUGCAUUUGUCUUUUGCCCACAACGUCGCUAAAGAAGUACAGAGGCCAAGCAACUCCAAGGCUGUUUGGAAGGAGAGCUGGGCUCUGCCUCCUGGGAGAGUUGGAGGACGUUUAUUCUCUGUGGAGUGUGAAGGGAGGACUGCCCUAUUCCUUGUCUGCUAGUACUUGCCCUGGGAGCCUGUGCGUCUUACCCCUUUUAAUUCUCACUGGCUCUGCUAGACGUGUAUUACCAUCCCAUUUUACGAAUGCAGAAACUGAGGCACUGAGAAUAAUGAUUUCAGACCAUACAGCCUUCCAAGUGGCAAAACCUGGGCUUGAACCAGGUCUCCUGAACUAUAACCUAGCAGAGAGAGAGACAACCACCAUGUCCUCUUGCCUGUGGCUGCAUCCAGUGCCAAUUUAACUCAGCUCUUCCAGGAAGCCCCUUUCUCACCCUGGCCCCAGGCUUGUUCUUGGGGAAGAUUCAGGGACUGGGUCUUACUGAAGGGGCUCUUGAGUGCUGAGAGCUCCACAAGAGGAAGAAGAUGCCUGGGUGCUGAGUAAGGAAACUGACAUGAAACACCUACCUUCCACCAGGCAGGGCUGCUGGGAACACCGUGAGCAUUUUCUCACUUCAUUUUCACAAUGACCCUACAAGCAAACCAUGGGCUGCAGCAGAAGACGAGAAAAGGGAAAGGAGCGAGGUUGCUGCUCUUCUCAUGGGACCAGCUCCAGGUGCUGUCAAAACAAGCCUGAGAUAAGGGCGGGCAGGGCUGGCGGGCUCAGAGAUUAGCGCUGCUACUGCCCUACCUGCUCAGAAAGUUUCAUUCUUUUAGCAGCGUUUCUGGCAGCUGUGACCACUUAAACGGCUUUUGCUUCCAUUAAACAGGAGAGUCAUUAAGUCACGGAGCUUAAAGCAGCUCUAAAGGGCCCAGUAGUCAUUCCUCAGUGAAAAGUGCCAAUUCAUUGCUUGGUAGAUUAAAA